rnacentral:rRNA from 1 species
UACGGAGGAUCCGAGCGUUAUCCGGAUUUAUUGGGUUUAAAGGGUGCGUAGGUGGAUUGGUAAGUCAGUGGUGAAAUUUUGCAGCUCAACUGUAAAAGUGCCUUCGAUACUGGCUUCCUUGAGUGUGGAUGAAGUAGGCGGAAUUUGUGGUGUAGCGGUGAAAUGCUUAGAUAUCACGAGGAACUCCGAUUGCGCAGGCAGCUUACUAAACCACUACUGACGCUCAUGCACGAAGGCGUGGGGAUCAAACAGGAUUAGAUA